GAUGAAGACGCAGCGAAAUGCGAUAAGUAAUGUGAAUUGCAGAAUUCCGUGAAUCAUCGAAUCUUUGAACGCAAAUUGCGCCCCCUGGUAUUCCGGGGGGCAUGCCUGUCCGAGCGUCAUUGCAACCUUCAAGCGCGGCUUGUGUGUUGGGUCUCGUCCCCCGUGGACGGGCCCGAAAGGCAGUGGCGGCGUCCCGACAUGGUGCCCGAGCGUAUGGGAAUCCUCUUCCGCUCGAAUCGGCCCAUGCGGCGCUGGUCGUAACCAAAUUUUUUACCGGUUGACCUCGGAUCAGGUAGGGAUACCCGCUGAACUUAAGCAUAUCAAUAAGCGGAGGA
rnacentral:misc_RNA from 1 species